AUUGAGGACAUUGGAUCUGGCCACUUGCUGCCGGCCAGCUGGCCCUCAGCUAGGCUCUCAGGAAGCUGAAGAAAGUGAGGCUCAGAAAGCUCUUCCAAGAUCUCACAGCCAGCAGCAGCAGGGCAGAAAUUCACAGCCAGGUCUGUUGGACUGCAAAGGCCAUCCAUGCGCUUUCCUUUAUACCACAGUGCCUCUCAAGAGACGCUCCACAUUUAAGCUGGUGCUUCCUUUCUCCUGACGAAGUGUGCAAUAGAGAGCAACAGAAACCACUGGCACCAAGCUCCAUGUCAAACAAAGAAUGAAGAACGAAGCAUAUUUACUUCAUUGGAGAGAACACCCCUGGGCUGAUGUCUUCUUGCUCCUCCACGUCCAUCCUCCAUCCUCUCCACUUGCUCUUGGCCCCAGGUGGCUGAUCUAUGGAGCAUGAGCAAGCUCUGCUCCCCUGUCCCUCACUUUUGGUUGGCCUCAGCCAUCUGCUUCUUGCUGGGACCCUGACUAAUAAAACCUGCAAGGCGUGGGUAUAUGAGGGGGAAGACUUGUCAUUCUAUAGCUUAGAUUUAUUCUGUGUUUUUUCCUCCAAAGAGCAGAAGUAGGACCAAUGGUGAGAAAUUAGAGGGAGGAGAAAUGAUUUUUUUUAUAGCAAAAAAAGACAUUUCUAAGUAUUAAAAGCUGUCUAUACAUAGAUUGGGCUAUCUUGGGAGAAAGUGGGCACCCUUCAAGGUGGUAUUUAAGCCAAACUGGGAUAAGCAAGGAAGUUAGAGAAGGAUUUAUAUAUUAGGAAAGAGAGAAGGCUAGAUCUCUAAGGUUCUUUUUAACUUUGAGCAUCUAUCUGUGUUACUACAACUAUCAAGAGUUCUCCCCCUCUCCUUUCACAUUCUUUUAAAUUUUAUUUUACAUUUUCUCCCUUCCCUGAGAAUUUAAUAAAGUUUAAAUUAAACUUGCUUAUCUAGGUUGGAGAGGUAGGAUGGAGUAGAGCACAGAUUAAAAUAAGAAAUUGGCAAAUAUUCAGUGUUUACAGUUUGAAAACAGCAUGUUUGUGCACUCGCCCUUUUUAUCAAUAUACAAACACCACGAUUUGGUUAACAUGUUUUGCACUUUUCCUGACCUUUUUCAUCCUCUGCACUCUGGAGCAAAUGACUCCACAAGGAAUUUUUUUACACUCCAAAAUAUUUGUUUUAUUCUUC
rnacentral:lncRNA from 1 species